CUUCGUCGUCGAGAGGGAAACAGCCCAGAUCAUCAGCUAAGGCCCCUAAGUGGUGACUCAGUGGC
rnacentral:rRNA from 1 species